AUUGUGGGAUAGGAUUCGUUUAAACAAAAUGGCUCUCAACAUGGCUUCCAUCGAGAUGCGAUGAACGUAGGAAUAGAAAAUUUAACUAACGGACAUAUGAAGGAUGUAGAAAGUAUAACCGUUUAUUGGUAUGGCUCUGGUGGGAGCUUGUAAAAGAAUCUAGCGAAUAUUUCUAUGCAGUUCUUGAUUACUGCAAGACAGAGCCGACCGGCUAACCGGAUUACAUGCGCUGUUAUUAGAUUUGGAUUAAAGAUUGUUAAACGUUAAACUAGCAAAAUGAUGUGUGAUGUGAUGCCAACCAUCUCAGAAGAUGGGCCAAACGAUAGGGACUCGCAAUAUUCGGGCGAUGACGCCAAUUUCGAACAACUGAUGGUCAACAUGCUCGAUGAACGCGAUAAACUUAUGGAGACGCUGAGGGAGACUCAGGAGGAAUUAAUGAUCAGUAAAGCUAAAUUACAGGAACUCGAACGUGAGCGCGACCUACUACAAAAGCAAAUACAAUGUAACGCUCCUCAGGAACUCUCCAACUUAACUAAAGAUUUAAGCGUCACCAAAGAAAAAUUAAUUGAAAAGGAAGAGGAAGUCAGUGAAUUAAAAGCCGAAAGAAAUAAUACACGGCUACUCCUCGAACAUUUGGAAUGUCUUGUAGCCCGUCAUGAGAGAUCUUUGAGAAUGACCGUCGUUAAACGACAAGCAUCUUCCCCGGCUGGUGUUUCUAGCGAAGUGGAAGUUCUAAAAGCUCUUAAAUCGCUUUUCGAACAUCAUAAAGCCCUCGAUGAAAAGGUUCGGGAAAGGUUAAAGAUGUCGUUGGAAAGAAUUCAACAACUUGAAGAAGAAUUAGGAAAUGCCAAUAACGAAUUAUUUCACUUACGGGAACAAGAAGCCAAACAUCGGCAUUCCACUAUAGAAGAUUCCUCGAACACUUCCAAUGAUAUUUCCCACACGAAAGACAAAGAGUCUAAUAAGCAUACGUUGAACGGCUGUCUAGAAGAUGGAGACAAUAAAGAAAAUGAUAAAAACGAUAGUCGCUUAGCUAAAGUUAAAAUAAUUGAAUUAACCAAUAAAUUGAAUGAAAUUGAAGAGCAAUUAAGUAAUUCUCAAAAAGAAGUUGCGAAAGGACAUGAUCAAAAUUCGAAAUUGCAACGAGAUUUGCGAGAGUCUUUAGCUCAACGUGAAGAUCAGGAAGAGAGAAUUGCAACUUUGGAAAAGAGAUAUUUGAAUGCCCAACGUGAAUCUACCUCAGUACACGACGCCAACGAUAAAAUGAAAGCAGAAUUGGCUAUGAAAGAAGCACAGUUAAAAACGACUGAAGACAAAUUACGUAAUCUUCAAGAGAAAUUGGAUACUGUCGAGCAGAAACUGCAACGCAAUUCUGAAACUUUACCGUCCGUUGAAGCGGAAUUAGCUCAAAGAGCCGAAGCCCUAUCCCAAGCUGAAGAACGGUUUGGGACGAAUGAAGAGAGGAUUAAGAAUUUUGAAAAUCAACUGGAAGAGAGAAGUCAGGAAUUACAAAGGGCUAAACAGAGAGAGAAGAUGAACGAAGAGCAUAAUGCUCGUUUAUCAGCUACUGUCGACAAGCUCUUAUCCGAAUCUAAUGAAAGAUUACAACUUCAUCUCAAAGAACGGAUGCAGGCACUGGAGGAUAAAAAUAAGCUGAAAAAUGAAUUAGAGCAAUUGAGGAAAAGCGGCGAAGAUAUGAAAAUGGAGCGGGAUCAUUGCCAAUCCGAAGUUGAUAGGUACAAGCGCGACGUUAUCGAGCUACAAGCCCAAAUCGAUAGACUAAAUAAUACGGCACCAGUGGAUCCGGAAGUAUAUAGAAGGAAUCAACGUGGAAGACAGGGGCUGAUUGAUGAUCCUAAUAAAGUUCACACUUUAAAUGAGCAAGAAUGGGAUAAACUACAGCAAGCUCAAGUUUUGGCAAAUGUGCAUCAUGCUUUCGACGCGAGCGAUACGGAAGCCGUAACAGAUGAUGAAUCUAUGUUUGGACCUGUAGAUGUUCUCUCUCCAACUGGUCAUGCUGAUGCUCAAACACUAGCACUUAUGCUUCAAGAUCAAUUGGAUGCUAUUAACAAUGAAAUUCGAUUAAUCCAGGAGGAAAAAGAAUCCACAGAACAAAGAGCGGAAGAGUUAGAAAGUCGAGUAGGUAGUGGUAAUUUGGACGUAGCUUCAGUAAGGUCAUACAGAUGGAGGCCUCCUCCUGAACGUUCCUCUUUGGAGCGUGUCUCACCGCCUUUAUCUGGGCGAUCAACGCCCUCUCCACAUUACCCGACCGUUCCAAGAGAUUUCAUGCAUAAGUAUAACACAGCACCGGCUGGUUCGUUAAGUCAUCAUAUGUAUGCUUAUUCGUCUAGUCCGCAAAUUGCCUUGUCAAAUAGUUCUGAUUUACAGCCUUUACAGCCUGCAAGCGCAUCCCGUGACGAUUUGUCAACCAGAGAAGGAGAUUGUAGUCCUCCAGCAACACCGCAUUCUAUGAGGUUGGACAGAAGUGAUCAUACCAUAAAUACCAGCUAUGGAAUACUAACAGGCGAGCAAUUAAUGAAUGCGUCUGUUUCUUCAUCUUCUUCCGGCGGAACAACCGCUGGAACAACUGCUGGAACGGCUGCCAGCACAACAGUUUCCACUGCGCCACAAACAACUAUGAGCACAAGAUCUGUGAUUGCUCAACCAACAUUUAUCAGAACAUCAAUGGAUAGUUCACAAAGUACACCCAGCCCUCUAAGUUCGAACAAUUCGUCACAAGAUUCCUUGCAUAAACAACCAAAGAAGAAGGGAUUGAAAGGAUCGUUAAGCCGCUGGUUUAAAAAGGAUAAGGUUCGGGGAAAGGAGCUAUUAACAGCCCAAUUCCAUGCCCAUCAUUCCUCCUCGCCAAGUAAACAAACUAACAGCGGAAUAGUAUCGUCGGCUUCGGCGACAAUAAGGCGACCCCUAACGGAUACACUACGUACAACAACUUCCGCUUCGGCGGCGAAUUUUCAGAACAUUGACGACGAACUCCUUAAUACUACCUCGCCGUAUGCUGAAGUAGAAAUUGGCACAGAAAACAUGGGAAUGACUCUUGGUAAACAAUCCGAGUUUGAUAGACGUAAAAAGAAGAAGAAUGAAUUAUUAGAGGAAGCCAUGAAAGCUGGUACGCCAUUUGCCCUGUGGAAUGGCCCAACGGUGGUUGCAUGGUUAGAAUUAUGGGUGGGCAUGCCAGCGUGGUACGUUGCUGCUUGCAGGGCAAACGUCAAAAGCGGAGCGAUUAUGUCCGCUUUGUCUGAGCAAGAAAUUCAACGCGAAAUCGGUAUUAGCAAUCCAUUGCACAGACUAAAAUUACGAUUAGCAAUUCAAGAAAUGGUUUCGCUGACGUCACCGUCAGCACCACCCACUUCUAGGAUGUCAUUAGCCUUUGGCGAUAUGAACCACGAAUGGAUAGGCAACGAAUGGCUUCCUUCCUUAGGCCUACCUCAGUAUAGGACGACUUUUAUGGAAUGUCUAGUCGACGCUCGUAUGUUGGAGCACUUAACAAAGAAGGAGUUACGUGGCCAAUUGAAAAUGGUGGAUAGCUUCCAUAGAACUAGCUUACAAUACGGUAUAACCUGCUUGAAGCGAUUAAACUACAAUAGACAAGAAUUGGAAGCUCGCCGAGAAAAUUCCGAACUGAAUGAUAUAAUCGUUUGGACGAAUGAACGAGUUAUAAAAUGGUUAAAUUCUAUAGGGUUGAAAGAAUACUGUAAUAAUCUCAUAGAAAGCGGCGUUCAUGGCACCCUUAUUGCUCUAGAUGAGAGUUUCACGCAUAGCAUAUUAGCCUUGGCUAUGCAAAUACCAACUCAGGAUUCAAACGCACGCCAGACGCUUGAAAAAGAAUUUAACCAUUUACUCACGAUAGGAACGGAUCGACGUGUUGAAGAGAGUAACACGUAGCGAGAUGGUAAGGAAGUUUUCUUUAUCGCUCAUGUUCCUCUUACCUUUUUUUUUCCUUUUUUUUUUUAAUUAAAUAUUGUAUUAUAAAAUUAUGCAUAUAUAUAUAUCAUAUUAUAUCUAUUAGAAUAUUGUUAUAGUAACAUACAUCUAUGUAUAUAUGUUUGUAUAUGUUGCCGAAUUUUUUUUUGCACUAAUCCAAACUAAUAAUUAGAUAGGGCUAUGGCUUUUUUUUUUGGGUUUUUUUUUUUACUUAACAGCUCAACACAAACAAAAUUGUUUUCUCGAAAACAAACAAAAUUCAUUCUUUGUUUAUUAAAUUAUUUUUUAUUAUUAUCAUUAUUACUAUUACUAUUAUUAUUGUUUUCAUAAUAAUCUACUAUCCCUCCCCCGACUUUCACUUAAUCAUCAUUACAACUACUCUUUUCUUAUUCAUCUAUCUAUUUUAUACUAUUUCCUUUCUCCUCUCAUUUCCUUGCCCUUCCUUCCCUCCUUUCUUUUGCUGAAUCUACCUCCCUUAUAAAUAAUAAUAGUAAUAAUAAUAAUGAUAAUAAGAACAUUAUAAUAAAUAGAUAACAUUAUUUGUAUUUUCUUUUUUAUUAUCAUCAAAAUGAAUAAUUAAAAGCAUGAGUUUGCUGUGGCUAACGUAGAUCAAUAGUUCGUUAGUUAGUUAUUGUUUGAAGUACAAUACUUGGGCCUGUUUGGUGUAAUAUUAGGUAUAAUUAUUCUAUUUGUUGGAUUGAUAAAAUGAGACGAAUCGUAAUUAUAUAAAUUGUUCAAAACGAUGUUCAUAGCCGAUAAGUCGUAUUUGUGGCAUAAUUUAUUCGAGAUAGCCGCCAUCUUUCGCCUCUUGGUCGUCCCACAGGUGGAUGUCGAUCGUUUAGGCGAUAUACAGUUUGCGUCAAGACUACAAAGUACUAGCCACUUGAGAAAACGCUGUCUAACUAUUUUAGUAUUAUAGAGAAGUAAACCGGAAAUGUAAUGAAAGCUGUAGCCGGAUGCCCGGGUAGGGUUUGUUGGCAAGUAGAGAAACAUUUGUGGAUGGGUUAAUAAAUUCAGUGGACGACGAGAUUGGAAGCCGAAUAUUUGAAUUCCACCGGAUUUGUGGGCUGAAGCGAUCGUUGUUUGCCAUAUAUUUUCUGUUAUAUGUAGAUCGUCUCCCGGCUCCAGCCAGAGAAUAGAGCCAAAUUCAAUCACUGCCAUCUGUUGGUUUCAUUAUAAAUUAUAUAAAUAUGACCUAAAUUGUACUUUUCCCUAUCCCCUCCUGUAUUGUAGAGGAGAGAAAAAAAGACAAGACUAUAGUAUUAUGUAUAUUUGUUAUUUACUUGUAAAAGUAGUGGCCUCCAAGUGUGUUUAAAGCGAACUCGCCUUGGAUUGAUAAACCGUUUUUGAAAACCUCGAAUUCCGACAUUGCACAAGUUCUUGAGCUAGAGAAUAAAUAUUUUAUUUGUAUAAAAAGUCAAAUCUUUAGAGAGAAAGGUAUCGUAAAUAUGUACAAUUUCAGACAAGAAUGCGAUAAGGAUACGGUGGCUGACUUACCGAAUUCCUCUGAUAAGGAAAGGGAGACGCGAAACUGAAAAGGGCACCAUCUUGGAGAAAGAAAUUGAAGGCGAAAGAUAGCCAAAGUCCUUCGGUUUCUGCGUCUAAUUCCCCAUCCAGACGCGCUAAAAGGGGCGAUAGUGAACACUGAUUAUAGGAGAAAAAAAUCGCACAAAUUUAGCAAUAUGUAUAAAUAUAUAUACGUACAUACACAUCAUUCAUUUUGUAUAUAUGUAUAUAUAUAUCUAUAUAUAUAUAUAUAUAU
rnacentral:misc_RNA from 1 species